rnacentral:tRNA from 1 species
GCGCGCGUAGCCCAAGCAGGCAGAGGCGGCAUUCUUAAAAAAUGCACGGUGAGAGUUCGAGUCUCUCCGCGCGCA